rnacentral:tmRNA from 1 species
GGGGCUGAUCGGUUUCGACUCCGUGUGUUGAUGUGAGGGAAGCGGGUCGAGGAAGCCAACGCAUGUCUCGUUAACCAACGUUGGAAACCAAUAAGUGCCAACGCAAAACGCACUGAAUUCGCCCUCGCUGCUUAAGCGAGAGUGAUUCUGCCGCUCCGGAAGCGCGUUCGUUCCGGAUUCGCGGCAUCAUCUAGAACGCUAGGUCGAGGUCUUGGUCGCUGGGGCAUCGAAUGACAUCAACGGCGAAUAGAGCCCGUCUCACCGACUUGUCCGUGUGAUCGGUGGGGCUCGAUAAUAGGUACAGCGGACUGCACCCGGAGAAGUCUCACAAAAGCAGCGGAGGACCAGGGUUCGAUUCCCUGCAGCUCCACGA